GGCAUGAUGUUGGAAUUGGUAGACAAGACAGACUUAAACUCUGUUAGGCAUUAGCCUGUGCGGGUUCGAUUCCCGCUCGUGCUA
rnacentral:tRNA from 1 species